rnacentral:lncRNA from 1 species
GAAGCCUCUCUCCCAACAAUGCCAGCUCCCCAGGCCGCUGCCUAUUCUCCUGGGUGCUGUGCCGCCCCACAGCUGCUAGUUUUUCGGGGAUUCUGGGCCAGGUGAUGUUCCUACUCAACUUCAACCAACUUGUACAGCUCCAUGGUGGCCUAGGCAUCUUCCACAGAGGAGUGUCCACUUUUCCAGCCAGAGGCGCGAAGUGAGGGGAUCGGAAGUCGAGGUGCUGAGGCCCCUGGAGGCUGUUCUUUGAGGACCUGCUCCAAUGCGCUGCAGUACGCUCACCUGUCUCAUCGUCUGCACUCCUCUCUUGUCAGUUGUUACUUCUUGCUUCCAAAGAACUCUCAAGAUAAUACCUCUUCUUCCUCCUUGUAAUUCAUUUUCCACUUCUAAUCUGUAAUAUGCUUAGUUGAUCUUUUUGGAAUUGUGUCUAGAAGUAAGAGUAAAUUGGUUCUCUGAAAGGCAUUUUUUAAGGGUUGGGAGUCAGAGGCUUUAACACAGUAUGUGGGACUGGUAACAUCUGGUUUUUCUGUUGGUUUGUUUGUAUUUUCCUUGUUCUCAUUUAUUUUAUGAGUAGCUAAGGCUCCCAGAUAGUUAACUUUUGGAAAGGUAAUGAAAUCUUACAACAUCUGAUUUCAUGAAUUGUGUAUUUUAUGUAUCCUAUACUAUUAACUACAUGUUAAGCAGCUGAUGCACGCUUCAGAUUGCUGGAGUUGACGUACCAUCUACUGAGGGCUGAUUGAUCGUUAAACAGGAUUUUAUAGCAGUACUUAUUGACUGUGUGCAUAUCAUCAAUAAGGAAAAAAAACCCCAAAAUCGAACUGUUAAAUAUACCCUUUGAAACAAUGGAAAGCAAGGACAGGAUUCUGUAUCAUGAAGACUGUUUCUGUGAAUUGUGAAAGUACAUUUUCCUUGCUUAAUAAGUUGGCCAAAGGGCAAGAUAAAAUGUCAGGUUACAAGUCUACUCAGAAGCACAGUUUAUUUUCUGUAAUAUUUUGCUUGUUGUGACUACUGUGUCGUCAUUGUCUCUUGUGUACUGUUGUACAUGUCAAAAUGUUCCACAUCUUUUGUUUUGCUGUUAUGAAGCUUUAUGUUAGAAGUGCUCCAGUUUUUUGAAGUUGUGGUCAGGAGUUCUAUUUUGAACUGACCAUGUAGUGAUUUCACUGUAUAAAAGCUGAAGUUUGAUCUCAUUCAAGCUUCUUGAAAAAAAAAAGUUUAGUUUAAAAUUUGUAGUUUUGUUAAAUCUGAAAAUCAUUGCAAGUCAGUAAUAACCUUCUGUGAGUAACAGUAUUUUGUAUACAGAAGAUUUGCUUCCAAAAUGCCACAUUCAAAGGUUACAAUAUUCUUGAAAAGUGGGAGAGUAUACACAUCAAAGAAGGCAUUUUUAUCACAUCGGACUUUGGCCAGCCUCCUCAGCUUGGUGUGUUAAGGGUUCAUUUUGGCUUGUUUGGCACGGCUCCCAGUGCACGCCUUCAGAAUUGUGGUUAGCAACAUGAAUGAAUUACAGAGUUUGGCUGAGCUCCUCAGCUAGUAGAGCUGGCUUCCUGCC